UACGGAGGGUGCAAGCGUUAUCCGGAUUCACUGGGUUUAAAGGGUGCGUAGGAGGGCAGGUAAGUCAGUGGUGAAAUCCCCGAGCUUAACUUGGGAACUGCCGUUGAUACUAUCUGUCUUGAAUAUCGUGGAGGUGAGCGGAAUAUGUCAUGUAGCGGUGAAAUGCUUAGAUAUGACAUAGAACACCAAUUGUGAAGGCAGCUCGCUACACGAAUAUUGACUCUGAGGCACGAAAGCGUGGGGAUCAAACAGG
rnacentral:rRNA from 1 species